GAACGCUGGCGGCAGGCCUAACACAUGCAAGUCGAGCGGUAGAGAGGUGCUUGCAUCUCUUGAGAGCGGCGGACGGGUGAGUAAUGCCUAGGAAUCUGCCUAGGUGGUGGGGGGAUAACGUUCGGAAACGGACGCUAAUACCGCAUACGUCCUACGGGAGAAAGCGGGGGAUCUUCGGACCUCGCGCCAUUAGAUGAGCCUAGGUCGGAUUAGCUAGUUGGUGAGGUAAUGGCUCACCAAGGCGACGAUCCGUAACUGGUCUGAGAGGAUGAUCAGUCACACUGGAACUGAGACACGGUCCAGACUCCUACGGGAGGCAGCAGUGGGGAAUAUUGGACAAUGGGCGAAAGCCUGAUCCAGCCAUGCCGCGUGUGUGAAGAAGGUCUUCGGAUUGUAAAGCACUUUAAGUUGGGAGGAAGGGUAGUAACCUAAUACGUUGCUACUUUGACGUUACCGACAGAAUAAGCACCGGCUAACUUCGUG
rnacentral:rRNA from 1 species